rnacentral:lncRNA from 1 species
GGUAAGCUUGGUGCUACCUCUUUAUUUUCUUUAUUAUUUGCUUAUGAAGAAUGGUGAUUGAGAGAAGUAUUGUUGAAUUGAUAAUCGUAGAAUGGAUUAUGGGUUGAAUUAAGAUGGAAGUAGUAAGCCUCGGUGUUUUAUAGUUUGAUACUUGAUUUCAAAUAGCUAGAAUACAGUCAAUUGUGACACUAACAGACCCAAUUCAUAUAACCAGUCUUUCCUCGUGUUCGAACCCACCUCUAUUAGUUCAAUUGCUUUGGUCUACUGAAGCUUGAAUGCAAAGAAAAUAAUAUUUUGGCAUUGUUUUUGAGGAAAUGAUAACAAUAUGAAAUGUUAGAAAUUGAUUAUAUGGGAGAUGGAAUUAUAUGUUGAAUAAAAAUGUGAGAAGAACCAGUUUUAGGGUUAUAAAUAUGUGAGUUAUAAUUCAAGGCAAUAUUGAUUUUGUAAUGAAGAAUGAAAGAUUAUGAGUAAUAAUCACGGGGGAGGGGGGGAUGGAAGGGAAAGGAAUUAUCAAAGAAUUGAUGGACAAACAAAAGAAAGACAGGAGCAAUUAUGCAUAAGAAAUAGCCUAUGGGAACAAUAAAAAAGAAUUGCAGGUCCAAAAAAAAUCAAAGAACGAAAAAUUCAAAUUCAAAUAAUAAGGAGACCAGUGAUAACACCAAUGGCCGCAUGAGUGCCAGAAGUACUAAAUGGAGUAUAAAUGGGAGCAGUAGGACACCGAACUACUAGUGAGGCACUAUUACCUACUUUUAGUGGUUGGCCCAACUCUGAUCCCGAUCACCAUAUAUCUCAAUUUUUGAUAGCCUACGUGGCUAAUAAUGGUAGAACUGAAGAUAUUUGGUUGAGAUGGUUGUCAGCAACUUUAAAAGAUACAGCUUUUGAAUGGUAUAUUCAGCAACUAGUGGAUAGAUUUCCUAAUUAGGAGGCCUUGAGGAAUACCUUCCUAAUCCAUUUUAGACCAAUUGGAUUUGAAGAUCAGCUUCGAGAAAGUUUUAUGAAUAGUAGAAUAUUUAUGAGGGAAUCAGUAGAGUCCUACUAUGGCUGGAUCGCGGAUGUACUUUGUAAAUGGUCAAAUAAUCAAAUGCUAGAUGUAUUUAUAUUGUCGAUAUUAAUUAACGGUUUGCAUCCAUCAAAAUUAAAAAUGUUUAUAAAAGAGGCUCGACCACCUAUAGUAGAGACAUCAUUGGCACGAGCAAAGGUGUCGGAAGAAUGUCAUUAUGACCAAUUAUUAACAAUAGGGGCCACGAUGAUUCCAAGUUCAGGAAGCCAACAAAUACAACCGAGAAAUAUAUCGAUGGAUAAUUAUCUACAAAUGGCUGCUUCUAAUGUAAAGAAUGUUAUGUUGCAACAACCAAAUAAUGCUACACCACUCCAAUCAAUAACGCCAAUAAUAAUGACACCUUAUUUUACAUCACCGGAGUUGUUCACAAAUGUGACUAUUAAAGAUCCAAAUGAAGCCUUGUUAUUAAAGCUAACAAAGAAAAUGAAAGAAUUGGCUGUGAAUUUGGCUAAAGACAAAGAGAAACGACAUAAGCCUUCUAAUAUGAGACCUAAUGUAUGGUAUAAUAAUUGUAAGGAAAAAGGUCAUUUUGAUAUGAAAUGUCCAUCACCCAGACAAACGGGUGUUCAAUGUACAUUUUACGAAGAAAAGCACCCUAUCCAAAAGUAUUGGCAUUUACAAAAGCAACAACAAUUUAGUAAUCAGACCAUGAUCCCAUCGACUCAGUGAGAAGUCAAUCAAGUUCAAAUGAGAAAUACGUAUGGAUAGAAUGAAAAUUGAUCUAAUUGACAAAAUCAAACAUUCAAUAACUUUCAAAGUUCCAAUUUUACUCAGGGAUCUGCAUCAAAUCCCUAGAACUACGGAAAGGAGCAGUAGAAGUAUCAGCAAUAUGUUCCACCGGCAUCAUAGAACCAAGUAUCCUCUGUACCAAUGGGACAAUUAGGAUCAUUUUGUAAUCCUACAUGGAACAAGCCUAGUAGGUAUAUAUCGAUGGAGACACCCAAUAUGCCAAAUGGAGGUGCAAGAAGACCACUUCAUUGUUUCCAUUGCAGACAGAUUGGUCAUUAUGCCAGUGAAUGUCUCAAUCCCAAAGCCAGUGACGAUUAUGCACCAGUAUGUGUGAAUUGCAAGUAGUUGGGACAUACUUAUCAACAAUAUAAUGCUUCGUUCAAUUUCAAUAAUCGAGAUCAGUAGAUCCAAAGCCAAAGAAAAAUAGAGGAAAUAAAUCAAGAUCCUCAAGAUGCACCAGUUCAUUCGGUAGAAGUAGUCCAAGCUGUCCUUACAAGAAGUCAGUAAAAGGAGAAAGGACCAAUUCAAUAUUUGGGUGAUCUUGAAGCAAAGGGUCAAUUGGACCCAAUUAUGGAGACAUCCAAUCUAGGUCCUCACAUGGAUCCCUAACUCAAUAUAAGACCUGAAUCGGUUGUGCACUUCAAUGAUAUACCAAUUACGGAGGCUUCGGUUCCAUGUCGAGCUAUUUCGUUCUCUACACAGUUUCAAGAAACAUCAUUUUCGUUCAUAGAUCCUCUAAAAGGCAUGAAUUCCAAGGAACCAAUAUCAGCCCCAUUCGAAGAACAAUCUUAUCCAUUGAAAGAACCAAUUUUACAGGCUCCAUCAAAUUCAAUUCCAAGAGCUUUACCAAUUUCCAAUAUAGAGAAAACCAAUUUAUCUACAUCGGUGUCUACGACUGAGAAGAAGAAACAGACAUUGAGAAUUACCAUUAAUAUAGAACCAUAUGAUAUUCUAAAAGAUUUGGGCACCAUACAGUCCACGAUCUCCAUGAAGCAACUAUUGGCAGUAGCACCUGAAUGCCAAAUUAUUUUGAAUUUUUCAUUAAUUCUUUGUAGAUCUUGAGAUAAAGAAAUCUGAGAAGUAAGUUUGAAUCCCGAUCCGGGUGUACCUACGAUUGAUGUUUCAAUUGAUGGAGUAUUGUUAACGGGAGUAUAAGUGGAUGGAGGAUCUAGUGUAAAUCUUAUGAAUGCUGCUACAAUGGAGGAAUUGGAUUUAGAUCACUUAUUGUCUACUACAAAGGUCUUGAGAAUGGUUGACUCCAAUCAAAUUCAAUCUAUGGACAUUUUACAAAGUAUUGAUAUAGUAUUUGUAGGGAUUAUCUACAAAAUUGAUUAUAUUAUUUUUUGAUUGCAAAGCUCUAUAUUAUCAUACCCAAUUUUAUUGGGGCGACAGUAGUUGUAUCAAGCUAAAGCUCGAAAUGACUAGGGCCGUGGUACAUUGACAAUUGGGAAAGGUAAUGAUAAAAUUGUGCUUCAAAUAUACCUUGUCCAAUAUCAUAGAGAAACUUAAGUUGCCAGUUCAGAAUUCAUGUCGGAUUAUGAAGAUGAGUCCACAGAAGAAGGAAUUAGUGCACCUGCCCCAAUUUAUGCUAAUACAAGGCAAGUUGUCCAACACACAAGAAUGAACUGUUAGUGUAGGGGACCGGAAGAGUACUUAGUUCCUCCAGAUGUUAUUGACGAUUCUGAUUAUAUGAUUACAUAUUAGAUGAAUAGACGGGAUGUUAAUCACGUUAGUACUAUGGAACUGGAGUUGGAAAGUUCUAAUGUGUCGGAUUGUAUGAAAGAUUUUAAAAUUAAGCAAAAUAUUAUUUUAGAAAUACUUAAAAUUCCACGAUGUCAACCAAUUAAUUUAGGCACAAGGAAGGCUCCCCAAAUCAUUCAAAUUUACGACGAUAUAAAAGACAAAGAGAAAGAAAUAUGGGUGGAUUACAUUUUAACGCAUAAAACUAAUUUUGCAUAGUUGUAUGCAGAUUUGAAAGGAAUUCCAGCUGAAGUUUGUGAGCAUCGAAUUAUAUUGGAGGCGACCGCUUCACCAGUACACCAAAGACAACAUCGACUUAAUCCAAAAUAGUCACUUAUGGUGAAAGAAGAAUUGGAUAAACUCUUGGAGGUUGGAUUUAUCUAUCCAGUUCCUUUUAGUAAAUUGGUUUCACCAAUUGUUAUGGUACCAAAAAAGAAUGGAAAAGUUUGCAUCUAUCAGAUUUCCAAAAAUUAAAUGUGGCUACCAAGAAGGAUUAUUUUUCUUUACCAUUCACGGAUAGUAUAUUGAAUGCCAUCGCUAGACAUGAAUGUUAUUCAUUUCUUGAUAGAUUCUUUAGUUAUAAUCAAGUUAAGAUUGUAAAAGCAGACCAGUUAAAAACUACUUUUACUACGGAUUGGGGGAUCUUCGCCUGUAAGGUUAUGCCGUUUGGGCUUUGUAAUGCACCACCUACAUUUUAAAGGGUAAUGAUGCAAGCAUUCCAAGAUUAUCUAUAAAUUUCAAUGGAAAUAUUUCUAGAUGAUUUUUGUACAUUUAGUACGAGAGCCAAGCAUUUAAAAUGUCUAAGUCAAUGUUUGAAUCAAUGUGCCAAAUAUGAAAUUUCUUUAAAUUCAGAAAAGUACCAAUUUGGUGUGCCUUCUAGUAAACUAUUAAGUCAUAUAGUUUCAAUGGCAGGCUUUACUAUAGAUCCGGAUAAAAUAAAGAUUAUAGUAGAAUUAAAGCAACCAAACACUGUUACAGGUGUUCAAGUAUUUGUCAGCCAUAUCAGUUAUUAUCAGCGAUUUAUCUAUCUAUUCGCAGUUAUAUAUCUUCCCUUAACAAAUCUCUUGAAGAAACCACCAACCAAUGGGACCAAUCCAUUUUGGACAAAGAAAUGUACAAUUGCAUUCGAAACAUUGAAACAAAAAUUGGUUUCAGCACCAAUAUUGGUAGCACCUUGUUGGACAAAAUCAUUCCAAGUUUAUGUGGAUGCAUCUAAUGUCGCGAUUGAUUCUAUGCUAAGCCAGAAAGAUGAUCGGGAUUUUGAUCACCCUAUUUAUUAUGCAAGUCAUCAAUUCAUAGCACUUGAUAGAAAUUAUACAACAAUUGAAAGAGAAACAUUGAGAAUGAUUUAUUUUGUACAAAAGUUUCGACAUUAUCUUCUUGAUUAUAAAUUUGUUUUCCAUAUCGACCAUGAUGCUUUAAAAUAUAUGAUUAAUAAGCCUCAAUUGAAUGGUCAUGUUGCACGAUGGGUUCUACUCUUGCAAGAAUUUAACUUUACUAUUGAGGUAAGACCAGGAAAAUUACAUUCCAAUGUGGACCAUUUAUCUCGAUUAUCCAAUAUAUUGGAUAAUGAAUCCAUUAACGAUGCACUACCCAAUGCGGAACUGUUUGUGAUAGAUGUAAUUACUUCGAAGUAUAGUGAAAUAAUUCAAUACUUGACAUUUCAAACCUUUCCAUUCAAUUUCAAUGAAAAGCUUAAAUGAUGCUUAAUAUUAAAAUGUGCACCGUAUACGAUGAUUGGUGAAGUUUUAUAUAAACAAGGCAAGGAUGGAGUUUUACAACGCUAUAUUUAUCAGACUGAAGUGCAUAUUAUAUUGGAAGGUUGCCACUUGGAUAAUUGUAGUGGACAUUUUGAGGGAGACAGUAUAGCUCGUAAAGCUUUACAGGCAGGUUAUUGGUGGCCAACAAUGUUUGCAGAUGCCCACCAAUUUGUCCAUUAUUGUGACCCAUGUCGGAGAACGGGUCGACCUACUGGAACUUCAGCAAUGCUAUUGGUACCAAUUUUGGCUCAAGCGCCUUUUAAAAAAUGGAAAAUUGAUUUUGUGGGACCAAUUGCACUAACCUCGAGAAAUGGACAAAAACGGUAUAUACUGGUAGCAACGAAUUACGUAACAAAAUGGGCUGAAGUAGUAGCUAUGAAAACUGAUAGUACAAGUAUAGUAGAAAUCUUUUUGUAUGAAAAUAUUAUUACACGGUUCGGUUGUCCAUGAAAAUUGGUUAGUGAUCGGAGAACUCAUUUUAUCAUAGUACAAUCAAAGCACUCACGGCUGAAUACGAGAUAAAACAUCGGAAGACUACACUAUAUCACUCUAGAGCUAAUGGACAAACAGAAAAGACUAAUGAAAUUUUAUGUAAAAUCUUAACAAAAACAGGAGCGGGAACAGAUUGGGACACUAAGUUGUUUGCAACUUUAUGGGCCUAGCGUACUACGUAUAAAGUUACUACCAAUGCUACCCUUUUCUAAUUGGUUUAUGGCUAGGAAGUAAUAUUACCUAUUGAAUUGGAAGUCCAAAGUUUACGAAUUACUAUAGAUAAUAGAUUGAGAGAUCAGGAUUCAUUAUGGCACCGUUUAGAAGAAUUGAAAAAAUUGGAUGAAACAAGAGCCAAUGCAUUAAUGAUAAUGGAAACUAUACAAAAACAAAGGAAGACUAAUUAUGAAAGUAAGUUUAGACCAAAGGCUUUUAUGCCAAAUGAUUUGGUACUUCUUUAUGAUAGUCGAUUUAAAAAAAUUUUGAGAAAAUUUCAAGUUUGAUGGCAUGGACCAUAUUGAGUUAUUGACAGAUUUUCAAAUAGUUCAGUACAAUUGGAAGAUUUUGUGGAUACUAAAUUUAUGACACGGAUAAAUGGCAAUCGGUUUAAACUUUACUUUACAUAAACUCGGGACGAAUUUUCUGUUACAAAAGAGAGAGUCGACCAAAUUGAUUGGACCAUAGUAAGAAGUAGGAGGGGGGCUCUUGACAAGCAUCAUGUUUUCUUUUGUGGUUAAGAAAAAGAUGGAAAAUAUGGUGUUUGAGAAAGUAAGGAUGGAGACUGAUUGGAAAGAAUGGCAAAAGCAACUGUAGAUAGAGGUUGCGAUAUUACAGACUAAACUAGCCGUGUUAGUAAAGGAGGCCAAUAAUUUAGUGCAGAUCAAUAUGCCAUUUUUAGCAACAAUACCUUCGGAGAUACCUUUGAAAGGGAAAGAAGAAUGGUGAAAGUUGUUGGAGAAGCAUGACAACCAAAUUGCCCGACGUGAGUCUCAAGUGUGGGAAUUGGGUUUGUUGAAUGAAGAUGUGAUGGCGCAUUUGGAUGGAGAACCCUCAAAUAUUGAGGCAGACGACAAAGAUGUAGUAGAGGAGAAGGUCACCAAUUCAAAGGGUAGUAAGCCAAUGCCAUUGAGUAAAGAAGCCAAUGCUGCUACGUCUUUAUAAGUUGAGGCUAAAUAAUAUUUGCGAGGACGCUGCACAAUUAGAAGUGGGGCUAUGUAGAAUAGAUAAAUAAACUUUGUGAUAAGUUACUGGUUGGUUAUUGACAACCUUGAGAAUUAGAGUGAUGAUUAGGCAGUUUAGUUGGUAACAGUAGGUUGUUAGUAGAAUAAAUGGUUAAGAAUUCAAAGGGUCAUAACCUUUGGAAUCCGUUGGCCGAUGGAUCAUCUUUUUGGUAGGAUAAAUACGUUGAGAGUCAUAAGUCGAGAGCCAGACUGAGAGUCGUAAGCCGAGGUAAGCUUGCUGCUACCUCUUUGUUUUCUUUAUUAUUUGCUUAUGAAGAAUGGUGAUUGAGAGAAGUAUUGUUGAAUUGAUAAUCAUAGAAUGAAUUAUGGGUUGAAUUAAGAUGGAAGUAGUAAGCCUCGGUGUUUUGUAGUUUGAUACUUGAUUUCAGAUAGCUAGAAUAUAGUCAAUUGUGACAGAUCCAAUUCAUAUAACUAGUCUUUUCCCAUGUUUGAAUCCACCUCUAUUAGUUCAAUUGCUU